ACGUAGGGCGCGAGCGUUGUCCGGAAUUAUUGGGCGUAAAGAGCUCGUAGGCGGCUUGUCGCGUCGACUGUGAAAACCCGUGGCUCAACCAUGUGGUCUGCAGUCGAUACGGGCAGGCUAGAAUUCGGUAGGGGAGACUGGAAUUCCUGGUGUAGCGGUGAAAUGCGCAGAUAUCAGGAGGAACACCGGUGGCGAAGGCGGGUCUCUGGGCCGAUAUUGACGCUGAGGAGCGAAAGCGUGGGGAGCGAACAGGAUUAGAUACCCUGGUAGUCCACGCUGUAAACGUUGGGCGCUAGGUGUGGGGGGCCUCUCCGGUCCUCUGUGCCGCAGCUAACGCAUUAAGCGCCCCGCCUGGGGAGUACGGCCGCAAGGCUA
rnacentral:rRNA from 1 species